rnacentral:rRNA from 1 species
AAUGAACGCUGGCGGCGUGCUUAACACAUGCAAGUCGAGCGAGGCCAGGGGGGCAACUCCCUGAGUCGAGCGGCGGACGGGUGAGUAACACGUGGGUAACCUACCCGGAAGUGGGGAAUA